rnacentral:lncRNA from 1 species
AUGCUUAUUAACAGAGACAAUGGUAAACCAAAAAGGAAGCUACUGAUAUUCCUUUAUUUUUCUUAAGUCUUUGUUUAGUAAAUUCUGUGCAAGAUCUUGCCUUUUAAUUAUUGAGGGCACAAUGGGAAUAAAUGUUAAAAGAAUAACUAAUAAUAUUUGCUUGGAAUUCCAGGGAGUAAAGUUUGUCAUCAGCUUGAAACAAUGGCCUUUUUGAUAUUCAAAAUGGAGAUACCUGAACUUGAUGGAAGCAGAAGUACUUGCCUCAACCAGCCUCCACAAAAUGCUAAUAAAAGUUUUCCCUUGCUUUUUAAAAUAUCAGGAGUGUGUUUAAACCCCUGUAUAAGAAAUCAAUACCUUUGCAUUUAGGAUGUGAAGAUCCUGCAAGUGAUCGAUACAUUACCCUGGCUGAAAUGGCCUCAAACUCCAACAUGGGAACAGUAAAUUAAGUUAAGAUAUUCUCAACUAUUUCACAACCUCUCCAUGAGCUACCUGAAGAUGACUGGCAGAUUAUCAGUAGUCUACAAAAAUAGUUUAAGAACCUCUAACUAAUUGCAAAGCCUAUCAUAUUCAGCAAGACAGAAUCCAUACCAUAGCCUGCACCAAAGGCCGUAUGUGUGUGUGUGUGUGUGUCUGUGUCUGUGUGUUAAAAUGUAAAGGAAUAAGAGGUGUUCUUGAUAGCUCAUUAAAAGCUACACCAUCUCCAGUCCAGGAUGAUCUGUG